rnacentral:lncRNA from 1 species
CCGGCUGAUAAAGCUGCUAAUAAUAUCAUUAUUGUUUGACGUAAAUUUUAUAUAGAGGUUCUGCAAAAGGAAAUCACGAAUUCACCAACAUUCCAACUGACUUCAUUUUCAGAAAACGACAUCUGUAACAAACAUAAAACUUUUAGCUACUUCUUUACAAGCAGAACCAAACACAAUGAAAGUCCCAACUAUGUACUGGCUUCCGAA